GGGGUCGUCUAGAUUCGACGGGUAUAUUUGAGUAUUAGUGGCAAGUCGAAGGUACGCGUUAAGUACAACAAAAAAAUAACUGGAAAAAAAGUUAAAAACGCAGUUGCUGCACUUUUCUCUAGAAACAGUGUAGCUUUCGCCUAAUCGAAAUAGGUCUGCACUUUCUAAAUAUAUUUUCCUAUGAUUAUUUAGAAGGUUCAUUUUUAUAGGAUAUAUUACUACGAUGUCUAUAAGUAGUAAUGAAUAAUAUAGACUUACUAAUAAAAUGGUUGUUAAUUUCUAUAUUUAUUAGGACAAUUAAAAAUUAACUAAACUUGUAGAAGCUUUUAUGUUGUUGUAUUCGGACAUGGGUGCAAUUCCCAUCGACUCCACCA
rnacentral:tmRNA from 1 species